GCAGGAGUAGCCGAGCCUGGCCAAAGGCGCGGGACUUAAGAUCCCGUCUCUCAGGGGUUCGUGGGUUCAAAUCCCACCUCCUGCA
rnacentral:tRNA from 1 species